rnacentral:rRNA from 2 species
ACAAGUACCGUGAGGGAAAGUUGAAAAGUACUUUGAAAAAAGAGUGCAAGAGAACGUGAAACCGGUGUAAUGGAAGCGAAUGGAGCCGACGUAUCUAGUGCGUAUUCAACCGUUUCGUGCGUCGGAUCGGGGCUUGUGCAUUGCCGCAAGGUGUGCCUGGCUUCGUUGUUCGGCGUAUGGGCGGUGCAUUUGCGUACGGAGUGUGCCGAGUUGUGUGGUGCUGUCGGAUGAAGCGUGUUUAGAGGACCGGGCCUUCGGGUACGGAACCCUGGGCGCGUCGAGUUCGGUUGGCGCUGCGCAGCUUCGUGGUUUGGUGCGGGUUUUUCGCGUGCCGUCGUUUCGUGGCGUUCGGCUUACGUGGCACACAUGUGUGCAGCGUUUGUCGGGCGUCCCGGGGCGGUGGUGUGCUCUGCGCCCUUCUCGGCAUAUAGUCGGUGACCCAUUCGACCCGUCUUGAAACACGGACCAAGGAGUUUAUGGUAUGCGCAAGUCAUUGGGUGUUGUGAAGCCUAAAGGCGGAAUGAAAGUGAGACAUUUACUUGUCUGAACGUGACUGGGUGCGGCAUUCGUGCGGCCCAAGCAACGUUGCCCCGUUUCGAGGACUUGUCCUGUUGCGGAGGUUGAGCGUAUGCUAUGAGACCCGAAAGAUGGUGAACUAUGCCUGAACAGGACGAAGCCAGAGGAAACUCUGGUGGAAGUCCGAAGCGGUUCUGACGUGCAAAUCGAUCGUCUGAUUUUGGUAUAGGGGCGCAAGACUAAUCGAACCAUCUAGUAGCUGGUUCCUUCCGA